AGAGCGAACGCUGGCGGCAGGCUUAACACAUGCAAGUCGAACGGGCGUAGCAAUACGUCAGUGGCAGACGGGUGAGUAACGCGUGGGAACAUACCUCUUGGUUCGGAACAACACAGGGAAACUUGUGCUAAUACCGGAUAAGCCCUUACGGGGAAAGAUUUAUCGCCGAGAGAUUGGCCCGCGUCUGAUUAGCUAGUUGGUAGGGUAAUGGCCUACCAAGGCGACGAUCAGUAGCUGGUCUGAGAGGAUGAUCAGCCACAUUGGGACUGAGACACGGCCCAAACUCCUACGGGAGGCAGCAGUGGGGAAUAUUGGACAAUGGGCGCAAGCCUGAUCCAGCCAUGCCGCGUGAGUGAUGAAGGCCCUAGGGUUGUAAAGCUCUUUGUACGGGAAGAUAAUGACGGUACCGUAAGAAUAAGCCCCGGCUAACUUCGUGCCAGCAGCCGC
rnacentral:rRNA from 1 species